AGGACGAACGCUGGCGGCGUGCUUAACACAUGCAAGUCGAGCGCCCAGCAAUGGGAGCGGCGGACGGGUGAGUAACACGUGGGAACAUGCCUUUCGGUACGGAACAACUUCGGGAAACUGAAGCUAAUGCCGUAUACGCCCUUACGGGGAAAGAUUUAUCGCCGAAAGAUUGGCCCGCGUCUGAUUAGCUAGUUGGUGAGGUAACGGCUCACCAAGGCUUCGAUCAGUAGCUGGUUUGAGAGAACGACCAGCCACACUGGGACUGAGACACGGCCCAGACUCCUACGGGAGGCAGCAGUGGGGAAUCUUGGACAAUGGAGGAAACUCUGAUCCAGCCAUGCCGCGUGAGUGAUGAAGGCCUUCGGGUUGUAAAACUCUUUUACCCGGGAAGAUAAUGACUGUACCGGGAGAAUAAGCUCCGGCUAACUUCGUGCCAGCAGCCGC
rnacentral:rRNA from 1 species